AUUGAACGCUGGCGGCAGGCUUAACACAUGCAAGUCGAGCGGAGAUGAGGUGCUUGCACCUUAUCUUAGCGGCGGCCGGGUGAGUAAUGCUUAGGAAUCUGCCUAUUAGUGGGGGACAACAUUCCGAAAGGAAUGCUAAUACCGCAUACGUCCUACGGGAGAAAGCAGGGGAUCUUCGGACAUCGCGCUAUUAGAUGAUCCUAAAUCGGAUUAGCUAGUUGGUGGGGUAAAGGCCUACCAAGGCGACGAUCUGUAGCGGGUCUGAGAGGAUGAUCCGGCACACUGGGACUGAGACACGGCCCAGACUCCUACGGGGGGCAGCAGUGGGGAAUAUUGGACAAUGGGGGGAACCCUGAUCCAGCCAUGCCGCGUGUGUGAAGAAGGCCUUAUGGUUGUAAAGCACUUUAAGCGAGGAGGAGGCUACUGAGACUAAUACUCUUGGAUAGUGGACGUUACUCGCAGAAUAAGCACCGGCUAACUCUGUGCCAGCCGCCGCAGUAAAAC
rnacentral:rRNA from 1 species